UACAGAGGUCUCAAGCGUUGUUCGGAUUCAUUGGGCGUAAAGGGUGCGUAGGUGGCGCUGUAAGUCGGGUGUGAAAUUUCGGAGCUUAACUCCGAAACUGCAUUCGAUACUGCGGUGCUUGAGGACUGGAGAGGAGACUGGAAUUCAUGGUGUAGCAGUGAAAUGCGUAGAGAUCAUGAGGAAGACCAGUGGCGAAGGCGGGUCUCUGGACAGUUCCUGACAUUGAGGCACGAAGGCCAGGGGAGCAAACGGG
rnacentral:rRNA from 1 species